rnacentral:lncRNA from 1 species
GUUAGUGUCCUUUAUUCCUGGGGCUUAUUGGACCAUUCUAACUCCCUGUAAAUAUGUGGAGUACGACCCCUGUGAGCUCUUUUCACCUCUUCUUCACAGUGAAGGCCAGAAUUGCAUUCCAACCCCUCUAAUUACUCCAAAUUCCACAAAUUGAAGCUUAAGGACUGCAGUUUAGCAUAAUUCCAGCAGCGACCUUCGGCGUUUUGGCUCGUGUGCGACGUAGGAAGGUCGGAUUGCUGUAAAACUUGGUUUGGUGGUUAACUGACUUUUGGGAGAUUCCGUGGAGUCCAUUUUUACUGCAUUUGGUUGAGGUUAGUUUGGUCUAAUUACUAUUCUUCUAGACCGCUGCAGUUUUGGACCUGAAUUUGAGCUUUCUUUGGU